UUUUUAGUAUAAGCAUAUCAUAUGCAAUAUUUGUGACAUAUUUACACUAAAU
rnacentral:miRNA from 1 species